UACAGAGGUCUCAAGCGUUGUUCGGAUUCAUUGGGCCGUAAAGGGUGCGUAGGUGGCGCUGUAAGUCAGGUGUGAAAUUUCGGAGCUUAACUCCGAAACUGCAUUUGAUACUGCGGUGCUCGAGGACUGGAGAGGAGACUGGAAUUUACGGUGUAGCAGUGAAAUGCGUAGAGAUCGUAAGGAAGACCAGUGGCGAAGGCGGGUCUCUGGACAGUUCCUGACACUGAGGCACGAAGGCCCAGGGGAGCAAACGGG
rnacentral:rRNA from 1 species